AUAAAAUUUUAUGAUUUAUUAAAAUUUAAUUUAAAUUCAUUUUACAUGUAAAUUUUAGUAUUAAUUUUUAAUUAUUUUAAUAAUAAUUAUUUAAAAAUUUGCAGUAAUUAAAAUUAAAAAUUUAAGAAAUUAAGAUUUAGUGAUAUUUAAUUUAUUAACAAAUUUUGUGCCAGCAGUUGCGGUUAUACAAAAAAUAAUUUAAAUUUUAUCAGUAUGUAAUUAAUAAAAAUUAUUAUUUAAAUUAAAUAUUAAAUUAUUAAGUGAAAUUUUAAUUUAAUUAAAAUUUAUAUUAAUUUUGUGAUUUAUUAAAUUUUAUAAAAAACUAGGAUUAGAUACCCUAUUAUUAAAAAUUAAAUUUAUAAUACUAAAAUAGUAGAUAAUAAUUUGUUGAAACUUAAAUAAUUUGGCGGUAUUUUAGUUCAUUUAGAGGAAUCUGUUUAAUAAUUGAUAAUCCACGAAUAAAUUUACUUAAUUUAUUAUUUUGUAUAUCGUUGUUAAAUAAAUAUUUUUUAAUAAAAAUAAUAUUUAAAAAUUUUUAUAUAAAAUUAAUUCAGAUCAAGAUGCAGAUUAUAAUUAAGAAUAUAAUGGAUUACAAUAAAUAAAUUUAAAUGAAUAAUAUUUUUUAAUAAAUAUUUGAAGGUGGAUUUAAAUGUAAUUUUAAUUAAUUUAUUAAAAUGAUUAUAAAUUAAAAUAUGUACAUAUUGCCCGUCGCUUUCAUUAAUAAAUUGGAAUAAGUCGUAACAAAGUAGAGGUACUGGAAAGUGUUUCUAGAAAGAA
rnacentral:ncRNA from 1 species